CAGGGCCCCGGCUGCCACCGGUCCUCUUUGCCCGAGGCAGUGCCAGGGCAGCAGCUCCGGGCCCCGGCUGCCACCGAUCCUCUCACCGGCCGCUGGCAAGCGGAGCACCGGAUUUGACCCCAGGCAAGGUGCCGGACGGAUCAUGCGAAGGGGAAGCCGGAUUUGGCCCGAGGCGACGACCGGCGGCCGGCGGUGACAAGAAAUAGAGACGACCUAAGUUUGGAAGCUGGAGGAAGAGAAAGGAGAGGAGGGAAGGUGGCAAGCCGUGCAGGCUGCGGCGCAGUGGCGGGCCAUCGCCGCUGGCCGCCGGAGGCGGGAAAUGGGGUGGAAUGGCCGGCAAGGCGAGGACACGACCAAGUUUGGAGGCUAGGGAAAAACUACAGCCGGUGGGAAUCGAAACCUAACGGAGCGCAGCGCACCAGUGCAGGAGUGCCGAGGGCGGUGGGGUGGGGGCUUCAACGGGUCGAAGCCUGGAUGAUCCAAAGGAGAGGUUGCUGUUCAAUGGCUUGCAGACUUCACCGUUCGGGAGCAGCUUUCUUUGCAGACCACGCGGCUGCAGAGAAAACCUUGAGUGGUGGAUGGAUUGCCAUCCUGAGGAUGCGCAAAUCGAUCUCCAUUAGUUAAGAUGCGGCUACAGUUGCUUCAACUGCAAACUCAUGGCAGUUCUGAGAGGACAGGAAAAAGGGAGUUCACGUUGGAUGGGGAAACGGAGUUUACAAUUCCUACCGUUUUCUCCCUCCAAACAAAGCAUGUUGUACCUUAUUAAAUAAAUAAACAUCAGCACUCCCGUUUUGUUGCAUGAAACAUUUGCAUGACACUUGCAGGGAAAUUAAUGUGAGUA